GACGAACGCUGGCGGCGUGCUUAACACAUGCAAGUCGAGCGGAGCGGCGAACGGGUGAGUAACGCGUGAGUAACUGCCCCCCUCUCUGGGAUAACAGUUGGAAACGGCUACUAAUACCGGAUAGUGGGGGAUGACUGGCGUCCUAUGAGCUUUUUGGUGGGGUAGUGGCCUACCAAGGCGACGCCGGGUAGCCGGCCUGGGAGGGCGACCGGCCACAAUGGGCUGAGAUACGGCCCAAACUGCUACGGGGGGCAGCGGGGGGGAAGAUGGAGCAAUGGGGGAAACUCUGAUGCAGCGACGCCGCGUGCGGGAUGACGGCCUUCGGGUUGGAAACCGCUUUCAGCCAUGACGCGGUAGUGGCAGAAGAAGCACCGGCUAACUACGUGCCAGCAGCCGCGGUAAUUC
rnacentral:rRNA from 1 species